AGUGAACGCUGGCGGUAGGCCUAACACAUGCAAGUCGAACGGCAGCACAGUAAGAGCUUGCUCUUACGGGUGGCGAGUGGCGGACGGGUGAGGAAUACAUCGGAAUCUACUUUUUCGUGGGGGAUAACGUAGGGAAACUUACGCUAAUACCGCAUACGACCUACGGGUGAAAGCAGGGGAUCUUCGGACCUUGCGCGAUUGAAUGAGCCGAUGUCGGAUUAGCUAGUUGGCGGGGUAAAGGCCCACCAAGGCGACGAUCCGUAGCUGGUCUGAGAGGAUGAUCAGCCACACUGGAACUGAGACACGGUCCAGACUCCUACGGGAGGAAGAAGUGGGGAAUAUUGGAAAAGGGGGGCAAGCCUGAUCCAGCCAUACCGCGUGGGUGAAGAAGGCCUUCGGGUUUUAAAGCCCUUUUGUUGGGAAAGAAAAGCAGCAGGUUAAUACCCCGCUGUUCUGACGGUACCCAAAGAAUAAGCACCGGCUAACUUCGUG
rnacentral:rRNA from 1 species